rnacentral:rRNA from 1 species
UACAGAGGUCCCAAGCGUUGUUCGGAUUCACUGGGCGUAAAGGGUGCGCAGGUGGCCAGGCAAGUCGGAUGUGAAAGCUCCGGGCUCAACCCGGAAAUGGCAUUGGAAACUGCCUGGCUGGAGGUUUGGAGGGGGGACUGGAAUUCUCGGUGUAGCAGUGAAAUGCGUAGAUAUCGAGAGGAACACCAGUGGCGAAGGCGAGUCCCUGGACAACACCUGACACUGAGGCACGAAAGCUAGGGGAGCAAACAGG